UUUUAUGGAUGAGAAAAGAAAGUGGUUUCUUGAGAUGGAAUCUACUCCUGGUGAAGAUGCUGUGAA
rnacentral:pre_miRNA from 1 species